rnacentral:rRNA from 1 species
GACGAACGCUGGCGGCGUGCUUAACACAUGCAAGUCGAACGGAAAGGCCCUGCUUUUGUGGGGUGCCCGAGUGGCGAACGGGUGCGUAACACGUGAGUAUCCUGCCCUUGACUUUGGGAUAACUUCAGGAAACUGGGGCUAAUACCGGAUCGCAGCCCCCCUUGCAUGGUGGGGGUUGGAAAGUUUCGGCGGUUGGGGAUGGACUGGCGGCUUAUCGGUUUGCUGGUGGGGGAGUGGCUUACCCAGGCUUUGGCCGGUAGCCGGCCUGUGUGGGUGACCGGCCACAAUGGGACUGAGAGACGGCCCAGUCGCGAACGGGAGGCAGCAGGGGGGAAUAUUGCACAAUGGGCGGAAGCCUGAGGCAGCAGCGCCCCGUGCGGGAUGACGGCCUUCUGGGUAUAAACAGCUUUCGCCUGUGACGAAGCGGGAGUGACGGUAAUGGGUAAAGAAGCACCGGCUAACUACGUG